rnacentral:snRNA from 1 species
AUUGCUUCUUGACCUUUUGGCUAAGAUCAAGUGUAGCAUCUGUUCUUAUCAGAAAUCCAUUUGAUCACUGUAUUAAUUCCUCGUUCAAAGCUUUAGGAAUCCUUU